ensembl:lncRNA
UUUUUUUUUUUUUUUUUAAAAGAUUCUAAAUAUAAGCGAGAAUAUUUGUCUUUGGCUUACUGCACUUAGUGUAAUGUUCUCAGGAUCUAUCCAUAUUGUUGCAAAUGACAGGAACUCCUUUUUUUUUAAUGGCUGGAUAAUAUUACAUUGGGAGAGUAUACAUACAUAGACACAGAGGGCUCUUAGGUUGUUUGUGUGGUUUGGCUGUUGUAAAUAACACUGCAGUGAACAUGAGGGUGCAAGUACCCCUUUGAGAUAGUGAUUUCAUUUCCUUCGGGUAUCUAUACCCAUAGUGGAAUAGUUACUAGAUCAUAUGGUGGUCAGUCUGUCCUUCUUCCUUCCUUCCCUCCUUCCUUCCUUCCUUCCUUCUUUCCUUCUUGUGCCUGGGCACGUGGAAGUUCCUAGGCCAGGACAGGGAUUAAACCCAUGCCAUAACAGUGACAAUGCCAGAUCUUUAACUGCUAGUCCAUGAGGGAACUCCCUAUUUUUAGUUUUUUGAGGAGCCUCCAAACUAUUUUCCAUAGUAGUUGCACCAGUUUAGUUUCCCACCAACAGUACCUAAGAGUUGAUUCACUUUUCUCCACACCGUCACCAAUACUUACCUGUUGUAUUUUUGAUGACAGCCAUCCUAACAGGAGUGAAGUAACAUUGUGGUUUUGAUUUGCCUUUCCCUGAUGAUUAGUGAGGUUGAGCACUUUUUCAUGUACACUUUGGACAUAUGUGUGUCUUCUUUGAAAAAUGUUUUUUCAGGUCCUCUGCCCGUUUUUUAAUCAGAUUAUUUCUUUUUCUGUUGAGUUGUGAGUUCUUUAUAUAUUUUGGAUAUUAAUCUGUUAUCAGAUGUAUGGCUUGUAAAUAUUUUCUUUCAUUCUAUAGGUGGCUUUUUCAUUUUAUCGAUGGUGUCCUUUGCUGUGUAAAAUAUGUAUUUUAAAUGUCAGCCUCACAGCAUGCUUUUACAGCACUUUAUUCCAGCCAGUUAACUUCUUACAAUUCAGCUGCAGACUUGAAAGUUGCUUGUUUGUAAAAGUGCUCUGCACGGAUGGAAAGUUGCCCUCUAUUGUCAGGUGGGUGUCGCCAUGGCUUACAUGACAUUGACCCUAGGCCACUGCCUGGGCCCCUUGAUGAUUUUCUGCCUUUAUGAACUUCUCCAGUAUUUACUACCCAGACCACACAUUUGGCUAUUGAUAGUGUAUCUCAUGUUCUGAUUUUUUUUAAUGUGUAUUUAGGUUUUGUGUCUUUAAUGACAUUAUAAACACCUUUAGUAGCAGCAGCUUGGGAUAAAGAAAGUGAAAAGAAUUUGGUUUAGAUGUUUUGGGAUCAGUUCUGGCUCCUCUCUCUAUGAAUUGGAGGCAUAGGCAGAUUCUUAGUUUUCAAAAAUAUUCCCUGUAACUCACCUAAUUAACAGAAUCUUGUGAAGAAUAAAUUAGAAAAUAUAGAUUAAAUGCUUUUAUAGCCUGUAAAAUACCACUGCAAUUAUUAUUUGGCCAGGGGUUGAAUCGGAGCUGUAGCCACCGGCCUGCGCCAGAGCCACAGCAACGCGGGAUCCGAGCUGCGUCUGCAACCUACACCACAGCUCACAGCAACGCCGGAUCGUUAACCCACUGAGCAAGGGCAGGGACCGAACCCGCAACCUCAUGGUUCAUAGUCGGAUUCGUUAACCACUGCGCCAUGACGGGAACUCCAAUUUCCUCAUUUUUGAAAUAAUAGUAAAUACAUCAGGAUUAUAUAAGAAAUCAGUGAAAUUAUUUUUUGUGUUGCCAGAUGCCUUUUGGGAUUCUACCAAAAGCCUUGAACCAUCUCUCUUGAAAAUUAGAUCUCUUCCAUCCCCCCCCCCAUUUCGUUUCCCAUACUACUUUAGCCAACUACUAAAUCGAUGCAGAGACUCGCAUCCAUCUCCCACACUGUAAUGGCAUUAGGUAGGUGUUCCAAAAUGCUAGUGCCCGAGCUCCUAUUGUGGCUCAGUGGAAACAAACCUGACUAGUAUCCACGAGGUUGCAGAUUUGAUCUCUCUUCUUUCAGAUUUGAUCCCUGUUCUUGCUCAGUGGCUUAAGGAUCCAGUGUUGCUGCAAGCUGAGCUGUAGUUCACAGACGCAGCUCAGAUCUGGCAUUGCUGUGACUGUGGCUGGCAGCUGUAGCUCCCAUUUGACCCCUAGUCUGGGAGCUUCCUUAUGCUGCAGGUAUGGCCCUAAAAAAAAGGACCCCCCCCCACAAAGAAAGGCUACUGUCCUUUCUCUCUUUCUCUCUUUUUAUGGGGGGUGGGGGCAUUCCUUGUUGCAUGCAGAAGUUUUUGGUCCAGGGUCUGAACCCGUGCCACAGCAGUGAUAGCACCAGGUCUUAACCCACUGAGCUACCAGGGAACUCCUCCUUUCUCAUUUUUACACAUGGUUCUGCACUUCCCUCAACUUAGAGCCAAAGUCCUGUCAUAUUUUCAUUAAAUGAUACGUAAAAUAUUUAAAGUAAUAUUUAAUCAUGUUUGAAGGUUUGCAUAUUUAAUCAUUGCUAAAUAAUUAUUUAGAUCUUACUUGGAAUCGGUUUGUGUUAUUUUAUUCAAGGCUGUUGAUGUGGGUUGUAAGCAGUAUUUGUUAAGGCUGUGUUACUGACACAGAUGUUUCAGGAAAUAAUCAGAGGGAAUCCAUUUCACUUGAUCUCUUGUGGUUCUAAGUUGGGUCAGAACUUGUGCUUCCAACUCAGAUUUUGGUGCUGUUAAUUAGGCCAGAGUCAGCCCAUGGAAAUGAGAGUCAGACUUAUCAUUGUUAGUUUCAAGAUUGGAACAUUUGACUAUCAGGCUUGUUAUUUCCUUGGAAAACAAGAAUUAAAAUUCUCUGUCUUUUUGCCCAUUUAAUUUAGAUUUAUAAGCUCCAAUGGUAGCAGUUGUCUCGUUUUAGAUUUUGUGCAAGAACUGUCCCAUUUUUGGUGUUCAAUUAAUGUGUUUUUAUUUUUUAUCUAAAUUAAUGAUUCGGUCCACAAACUAAUUUACAUAUUUCUACUUGCAGUACUAUGGAGAUGGGAAACAUUCUUUUCAAUUCAGUGCCUGGAAUUCUAGACUAAAAAUUUCAGUUCAUCAGAUGAUAGCGCAAAAAAUUGUUUUAUUUGAAAAUAUGUGGUAAAGGGGUUUUAUUUGUUUCUCAAAGCUGUUCAACAUAAUAUGCUUAGAAAGAUGGCUCAAAUUGCCAGAGUGAUCACAGAUUUGGGAACUGUUAAGAGGUUAAUUCUCUUCAGUGGAUACUUUGGAUACUACUAAUAAAUAUACUGAAUAUUUAACUAUAUGAGAUAUUUCUUUUUAAAUUGUUAUUUCAAAGAAAUAUAAAUGUGUUAAUACUGUAGGAGUUUUCUAAUACAUGAGAUAUAAGAUUUUCUUUAAAAGGAAUACUAAUAUUUAAAAAAAAAUUCCAUGUAAUCAGGACUUCAGUAAGAGUACAUGUUAUCCACAAUGCAAGAAUUGUUAGAGAUGCUUCCUUAAUUUUUUGAUUAUGUCUUGGUAUGGAUUUUGACUCAUUGGGGAGCUUGAUUGACUAAAUAGGUCUUAAAAAAUGCAUAAGGCACUUUUUUAUUCUUUGUGUUGAUCAUAGUCUUGGUGUAUAGGAGAAAACAUUGUAUACACGCAUUUACUGCAGAAAAACCCAUUAUCAUCAUUUGUGGAAAAUCAAUACAUGUAUUUCAAAAUUUAGAUUGAUGGUGAUGUGCCAUCAAUGUUCUGAAGCUUGGGGGAUGCUCAGGGGUCAAGAGCAGGCCAGCUGAGCUCUUGCAUCAUCACUGACUAUGGGAUUGACUUUUUCAGGCAGCUUUUUCCCAGCCUGGGGCUCACGUUCCUUAGCUGAAGAUGAAUGAUAUACCUAAAUAACAUUUUGACAGGAAAUAGUGUUAAAUAAGUGCUGUGUUUAUCUCUAACACCACUACCUUGGGCUAAGGCAGAGUAGAUUUUACCUGUGACGGUGAAAAUGGAAUUUUAUUGGUCUUUUUUUAUGAAAGUUUAGUAUAAAGUACCAGCCAUCCAUAGACCUUUAAAAUGAUGUUGCGUUUGCAUUUGUUUCAUAAUGUAACAGAAUUCAAAGAUGUUAAAUCUAUUGAUGACCUUCUCUCUUGGUUCCUAAUUAGGAUUUUUCAAACUGUAGGUUAUGACCCAUCAGUGGAUUAUCACUUUUGUGAGAGUAACAACAAAACUAGAGUCCAUAAUAGAAAAAUUGCAGAGUGCAUUUGCACAAAGUAUAGGCAAGUAUAAAGGUGGGUGCCUGUGCACACAAGCUCGUGUAUGUGUGUCUCAGUGUACUGGGUAACUGUGUAAAACACAUUUUUACUUGGGGUUUUGCUCAGAAAGCUUAGAAAUGUUAGAUAACAUCAGUUACUCUCCCUGAAGGGGACCAGCUAAUGACCUAUUUAAAAUUUGAGGGUGCUUAUUCCUAAAAUAGGAAAUGAUAGUGGUGCUUUCUGGUGAGUAUUGUAAAACUGUCACUGCAUUUUGAAUGUGGAAAGACUUAUUUUGCCCCUGCCUCAUUUCUACUCUUAUGCCCUCGUCACUGUUAAUAUGUUAUUGAAUAAUGGCAUUCAGACAGUGUACUUGUGGACUGAGGUAUUUCAUUGCUAAAAUUGAGUGUAAGGGUUUUUCUCCAAAUAAGUUAAUGGAUAGAAUUUUCUCAUCUUAAAUUCCUCCCAUGGUUUCUCCUUAAACUUUUGGUGACUCUCAGUACCUGUCAGAUGAUAAAGUGGAAAUGGAAAGAGCAAAUGGCCAAUCAUGUUUAAUGCCCCGGUGCUAGCUCUUUCAUGAACAUAGGAGAUUUUAUGUUUCACGUAUGUAAUAAGCUUUUAUCUUCUCUUAGUCAAAGGUUUUUUGUUUCUAGGAUGAAAUUAGAUGUAUGGUUGCCCUGAACAACUUGGGUUUGAACCACGCACGUCCAUUUAUAUGUGGAUUUCAGGACUGCAUGGUUUAUGGUUGGUGGAAUCUGGAUGCAGAACUUAAGGUCUGCUGGUGGAUAGGGAGGGCUGACUAUAAAUUAGAUGUGGACUUUCUAUUGUGUGGAGGGUCUGCGCCCAUAAUCCCUAUGUCAUUUAAGGGUCACUGUAUUGUCAUUUGAUGCAGUUCUGUUGAGGCAAGAGUUCCUCAGAAAAUGUUGAUGCUCAGGUAGCCUGACACUUGAGUAAGUUUCUGAACUUGUCCUGGGUGUGUAAGAAUCAUUACCGUAGAGUUCCCGUUGUGGCUCAGUGGUAAUGAAUCUGACUAGUAUUCAUGAGGAUGAGCGUUUGAUCCCUGCGGGUUAAGGAUUUGGCAUUGCCGUGAGCUGUGGUGUAGGUCACAGGUGUGGUUUAGAGUUGUUGUGACUGAUGUGGGCUGGCAGCUGCUGCUCCAAUUUGACCCCUAGCCUGGGAACUUCCAUAUGCUGUGGGUGUGGCCCUAAAAGUAAAUAAAUAAAUAAAUAAAUAAAUAAAUAAAUAAAUUCUUUGUAACCUUUAAAAAAAAAUCGUUACUGUUAGUGAUUCACUUUGAUUUGCUGAUCAGUAGGAAUCAGAAUUACAAAUGGGUACCAACAGCAGUGAAAUAGUCACCUGUGAUACUAUUUCUGUUUAACAAUACUAUCACAAACAUUGCAUCACAGCCUUUAAUCUUCUCAAUCUCAUUAUUUUUGCCUUCAGCAUUAAUUUCUAGCUGUCCUGGGGGCCGGGGUUACUGUAAGAGUGUAUUCUGGUUGCUUCUGAUUCCCAUGGACAUAUGAUGAAUUCAUUUUGGAUUUUCUGAAGCAGCUAUCUCACCUGAUGCCAUAGGCAAUUCCUGGCCAAGCAAAAGCUUUUCUUUAACUUAAAAUUUGAAUGACAAGCGCCCUGUAUAGGAGCACCCAGACACAUAAAACAAAUCUUAGCAGACAAGGGAGAAAUUGAUGGAAGUGCAAUAAAAUUCAAAUGACAGACAUUGAAUUGGGUAGACAUCCUCCUCUAGGAUAAUCUUUUCAUCAGUGCUUCAGUUCAACGAAUAAACAUAUAUUUUAUCAUUAUUGAUGAAUGUUUUAAUUUUUCUUAAAUUAUAAAAUGUCAUUGUAAUAAAACAAUGAUAAAACAAAAAUGAUAAGAAAUAAAAAAAUAAUAAAAAUACAAUAAUAAAAAUAAAUACAUAAAAUAAAUGAAAAAAGAUAAAUAAAACAUAAAUAAACAGUGAAAGUCUUUCCUUCAUUCUUGCAGCAGUCCUCUCUCCUGAGGAGAGUUAAAAUUUGUAGUUUAUCAUUUCAUACCCUUUUUUGCCUUUACAGUUACCACGUGAAAUUAAAGGUGAAUAGAUGACUCAGCAUCAGUUCUUUUUCCCCCUACUUAAGUUAUCAAUGGGCCUACGAUCAUUAGUUACAUAAAACUUUUUCUUUAAAAUUGCCAAUUUUGGAAAAUACUGAUCAGUAAAAAGAAAAAAGUCUUAUGUAGACACCCUGUAGAGAAAAUUAUUUUUUUGCUUUUUGAGGCCGCACCUGCAGCAUAUGAAAGUUCCCAGGCUAGAGGUCUAAUUGGAGCUAUAGCUGCCAGCCUGCACCACAGCCAGAGCGAUGCAGGAUCCAAGCUGCAUCUGCCACCUAUACCACCACAGCCCACAGCAUUGCUGGAUUCUCAACCCACUGAGCAGGCCCAGGGAUCAAACCUACAUCCUCAUGUUGUGAGCCACACGGGAAGUCCAAACCUGCAUCCUCAUGGAUCUUAGUUGGGUUCGUUACUGCUGAACCACAGCAGGAACUCCAGAGAGAAUUCUUUUACAUAUUAUUACAUCUACUUUGAUUUCUUUUAUGUAUGUACCUUUAUAGAUUUGUCCAAACUUACAUGGGAUUAUGAUUUUAAUGCUGUUUACCAAGCUACUUUUUUCACACUCAGUAAGAGUAAAACAUUACAGAAAUUGCGUAAAGCUUAAAAAAAUGAAAAAAAUUUUAUACAUUGACAAUCUGGUGCUGGCUGAAAUUCAUGUGGAAAUCUGAAGACCUAGUAUAGCUAAAAUUUAUUUUGAAAAUGAACAGCCUUGGAAGGCUUAAGACUAUCUAGAGUUUAAGGUUAUUAUAAAGUUUCAAGAAUCAAGUCAGUGUUGUAUUGGCAUAGUGACAGACAUAGAUCAGUGAAAUAGAAUAGAAUUUGCAAAUAUACCCAUACAUAUACGGUCAGUUGCUUUCUGAUUAACAAGUGAUUUUAAAACAAUGAAUAUUGGUGUGAGAAAAAAUGAACUUAGUUCUCCUGACCUUUUCCUCAUAACAUGCAUAAAACUUCAUUUGAAAUGGCUCAUAGGCCUAAAUAUAAAAGCUAAAACUUAUAAAGGCUUUAGAAGAAAAGAGAACAAAAUCACAUCAACUUUAGGAUAGACAGGCAUUAGAACACAAAACGCACUAACUACAAAGAAAAAUUGAUAAAUUGUACUUCACCAAAAUCAAAGCCAUCUGGUCUUCUAAAGAAACUGUUAAGAAAAUGAAGUGGCAAGCCACAGACUGGAAGAAAAUAUUCACAAUACAAAUCUAGAAUAUGUGAAGAACUCCAGUUAUAACUUAACAAUAAGAAACCAAAUUUAAAAAAUGUUCGAAAGAUUUAGACAGAUACUUCACAGAAAAUAGAUAUGCAAAUGGCCAAUAAGUACAUGGAAAGAUGCUCAAUAUCGUAAACCAUCAGGGAAAUGCAAAUUAAAACCAUAAUGAAAUAGAAUAGCUAAAUUAAAAAAAACCCUCUGACAAUACUAAGUAUAGGGGAGAUCGUGAAGCAGACUUCAUCUUUCAUUCUUUGCUGGUGGAAGGUCUGCUGUACUACCACUUUGGAAAAGAGAUUGGCAAUUUCUUAGAAAGUUUCCUGUAAGGUUUAUUUAACAUGUACUUACCAUAUUACUCACCAUUUACCUAGGAGGAAUGUAAACACGUGUCCACAAAAAGACUUAUUAGCCAUUAGUGUUCUUAGUGGCUUUAUUCAUAACAGCCCCAAACUGGGAAAAACCCAAGUGUCCAUCAACAGGAUAAAUGGUUGAAUAAACUGUAAUAUUCAUACAAUGGGAGGCUAUUCACCAUUAAAAAAGUACAAGCUGUUGAUAAAAUAACAACGUCAUGGGUGGAUCUCAUAAAUGUUAUGCUGAUUAAAAGAAGCCAGACAAGUACUCUAUGUUUCCAUUAUAUAUUUAGAAGAGGAAAAACUAUAGUAUAGUGAUUGGAAUCAUACAGCUGGUUACUGACAGGGGUGGGGGUAAGGAAUUGAGUAUAAAAGGUCAAGAAAGAACUUUCUGGAAUGAUGUGAAAAUGUAUUUUGGUAGUAAUGUACGUUUAUGGGUUUGUUAAAGCCCAUCAGACUAUUUACAUUUGUUGUGUACAUGUUUGUGUUUAUUAGGAUAGCCAUGGUUUGUGGAUGCUUUAAAUGAUGGAGGUAGCGCCACUGAGAUGAGUGUGAAUUCUGCUCUUCUCACCCCUUCCCACAACACAGCUGUGCUAUAGGCUAAAUCAUAAAAUGAUUUACAAUGAGCUUUGUGGCACUUGUGAAAAGAAUAGGAUUUGGGGUGGGGUGGGGUGUGUUCUCCUUGUGCAUUGCUCCUCAGCUGCUUAGUUCUACAUAGCCCCUAAUACUUUAGAACACAUAUCAAAGUAUUAAAUUCUAAUUUCUAUUUUAAAUUCAGUUUUCCUUUUCCUUCUUUUCAAGUAACUGAGAAGACUUAAACACUGGCUUUUGCGUGGGUGGAUGACCGUUGAACUCUAUUCAGAGUGUUAGAACAGAAUUUAGUUUCCAGAAAUGCUGUUUUAAAUUCUGCUUGGAAUUUUUUUUUUUUUUUUUUUUGGUCUAUAGGGUUUCAAAAUGAAUGUACCCAUAUGUCUGUCUUUUUCUUUUUCUUUCCUUGUUUGAUUUUCCUUCAGCUCACUAAUUUUUCUACUUUUCUUUAUUCAAAUGGAUUACAUAAGAAAAAAA